AUUGAACGCUGGCGGAAUGCUUUACACAUGCAAGUCGAACGGCAGCACGGGAGCUUGCUCCUGGUGGCGAGUGGCGAACGGGUGAGUAACAUAUCGGAACGUACCCAGUCGUGGGGGAUAACUAUCCGAAAGGAUAGCUAAUACCGCAUACGUCCUGAGGGAGAAAGCGGGGGAUCGCAAGACCUCGCGCGAUUGGAGCGGCCGAUAUCGGAUUAGCUAGUUGGUGGGGUAAAGGCUCACCAAGGCGACGAUCCGUAGCGGGUACUGAGAGGACGACCCGCCACACUGGAACUGAGACACGGUCCAGACU
rnacentral:rRNA from 1 species